ACGCUCGACACCUACGGAGGCAGCAGUAGGGAAUCUUCCACAAUGGACGCAAGUCUGAUGGAGCAACGCCGCGUGAGUGAAGAAGGUCUUCGGAUCGUAAAACUCUGUUGUUAGAGAAGAACACGAGUGAGAGUAACUGUUCAUUCGAUGACGGUAUCUAACCAGCAAGUCACGGCUAACUACGUGCCAACAGCCGCGGUAAUCUGAGCGGGCUGGCAAGGC
rnacentral:rRNA from 1 species